UACAGAGGGGGCAAGCGUUAUUCGGAAUUAUUGGGCGUAAAGGGCGCGUAGGCGGCCUGUCAAGUGGAUGGUGAAAUCCCUCGGCUUAACCGAGGAACUGCCAUCCAGACUGCUUGGCUUGAGACCGGGAGAGGUGAGUGGAAUUCCCAGUGUAGCGGUGAAAUGCGUAGAUAUUGGGAGGAACACCAGUGGCGAAGGCGGCUCACUGGACCGGUACUGACGCUGAUGCGCGAAAGCGUGGGGAGCAAACGGG
rnacentral:rRNA from 1 species